CCUACGGGAGGCAGCAGUGAGGAAUAUUGGUCAAUGGACGAGAGUCUGAACCAGCCAAGUAGCGUGAAGGAUGACUGCCCUAUGGGUUGUAAACUUCUUUUAUAUGGGAAUAAAAUGUUCCACGUGUGGGAUUUUGUAUGUACCAUAUGAAUAAGGAUCGGCUAACUCCGUGCCAGCAGCCGCGGUAAUACGGCGGAUCCGAGCGUUAUCCGGAGUUAUUGGGGUUAAAGGGAGCGUAGGUGGAUUGUUACAUCAGUUGUGAAAGUUUGCGGCUCAACCGUAAAAUUGCAGUUGAAACUGGCAGUCGUGAGUACAGUAGAGGUGGGCGGAAUUCGUGGUGUAGCGGUGAAAUGCUUAGAUAUCACGAAGAACUCCGAUUGCGAAGGCAGCUCACUGGACUGCAACUGACACUGAGGCUCGAAAGUGUGGGUAUCAAACAGGAUUAGAUACCCUGGUAGUC
rnacentral:rRNA from 1 species